rnacentral:rRNA from 1 species
AUUUGUCUGGUUAAUUCCGAUAACGAACGAGACCUUAACCUGCUAACUAGAUUCUUCUAUACUAUAGAUGAUAUCUUCUUAGAGGGACUAUGUAAUACAAAUACAUGGAAGUUUGAGGCAAUAACAGGUCAGUGAUGCCCUUAUAUGUCCUGGGCUGCACGCGUGCUACACUGAUGCAUACAACAAGUGCCUAACCAGACAUGGUAUGGCAAUCUCGAAUAUGCAUCGUGAUGGGGAUAGAUCUUUGCAAUUAUAGAUCUUGAACGAGGAAUUCCUAGUAAGUGCAAGUCAUCAUCUUGCAUUGAUUAUGUCCCUGCCCUUUGUACACACCGCCCGUCGCUCCUACCGAUACCGGGUGAUCCGGUGAACCUUUUGGACUCAUUUGGGAAAGAUAAGUAAACCAUAUCACCUAGAGGAAGGAGAAGUCGUAACAAGGGUUCCGUAGGUGAACCUGCRGAAGGAUCA